rnacentral:lncRNA from 1 species
CUUUGACGUUGCCAUCUCCAUAGACGUGAACCUUCUCCUUGGGUGGAAGAAGGGUACGCAUUUGACAUAGGUUAGGAACAAAGUAAGCAGCAAAGCAGUUAGCAGAAAUGUAGGUGUGGGGAAUGUUUCCUUCUUCUAUCGCCCUUCUUAUCUCCAUCUUCUCAUCAAAGGUGAUCCUUCCUGGUUCAAGGGCAUGCCCCAUCCUUGCUGGGUCCAUGCCGAAUUCAGAUGGUAGGAAACGCUGCAUGUAAAAUUGUAUGUUCAUUAUGAAUGGAUGUGAGGUCAUAGUUAAUGAUGCCUCUAUCAAUUUAAAAAAAAAGAAGGAUCACCACANNNNNNNNNNNNNNNNNNNNNNNNNNNNNNNNNNNNNNNNNNNNNNNNNNNNNNNNNNNNNNNNNNNNNNNNNNNNNNNNNNNNNNNNNNNNNNNNNNNNNNNNNNNNNNNNNNNNNNNNNNNNNNNNNNNNNNNNNNNNNNNNNNNNNNNNNNNNNNNNNNNNNNNNNNNNNNNNNNNNNNNNNNNNNNNNNNNNNNNNNNNNNNNNNNNNNNNNNNNNNNNNACACACACACACACAUACACACACACGCACACAAAACGUGGUUUUUUAGCAAAAAAAAAUGUCACGCUGAUUAGGCGGUCUUAAGGUGUUAUGGCUUGUUGCUUGGGCACCGCUAAAAUAGGGAGUUUCAAGAAGGGCUUGUUUUGUUACCUGCAUCAGUUACCUAGCCAAGCUCACUCGACUCGAUGAAUUUUUUUAAGUGCUAAUAAUUUGUUCGCAUCUCCUAUUUCCAGCCCUGCCUUUUAUAGGGGAAAAUAGUGGUCUUCAUUCAUUAAUAUUCAUGGGGCGACCACUAUACAACGACAAAGCGCCACAAACUAAAUUAUAAGCAUUUACAUUAUGCUAAUAUGGCCCGCACACAACCGCCUCGGCACCUCUAGCCAAGACCUUGACAAAUCCCGCAUCAACAUUGAACUUGAACUUCAGGAAACCUUCCGGAGACUAAAUGGUACAGAAAGGACACCCUCCCGAGAGUUGUUCUCAGUAAUGGGCCCGUCUGUGUACGCUCCUUGAGUUCACGGUAAAUGGAAGGUUUUUGAAGGCUUUUGGGUCGUCUUUCCUCCAUAGGUUUAACUGAUAUUUUCUUCGGUUUUUCCUUUUAGUUUUAUUCCAAUUAUUUCUUCAAUUUUUAAAAUCCAUAUUUAAAAAAAUCAUGGACACUUUUAAUAUUGGUGAAUAUUUCUAAUUUUUUUGAACAUUUUGAAGUCCAUUAACAUUUUUCAAGACCAUGAUUUUUAAAUUCGUGAACAUAUUUUAUAUUACCAAAUAUUUUUAAAUUCAUGAAAAUUUUCUAUUUUUUUGUAAAUAUUUUUCGAAUUCAUGAACAUUUGUCAAAUCGCAAGCAUUUAAAGAAAAUUGUGAACCUUUUGAAGGCAGUGAGGGUUGAUGAGUCGAAAUUUCCUAGGGGCAAAAUAGGGCGAUAAGUUUCACACACCCAGCUCUAGCAUCCUGCUCAAGGAUAGGCCCAGAUAAGCUGAGCGGCAAGUUUCCUCCCGUUGUUGGUAAGCUUCCAAAACAUAGAAUCUAGUCUGGGUGAUUUUUUUUCAUUUUCUUUGUGCUUAUGCAGAUUUUCUCAUGUUUUCCUUCAUUUUCUCCUUUUACCUAGUUUAAUUAAACAUAAAUAUUUUUUACAAAAUACAUGAACAUUUAAAAAAAUUGGUGGAACAUAUUUUCAUAUUUGUGUUAGUUUUAUAAAAUUCAAUCAUUUAUUAAAAUUCGUGAUUUCUUUCCAACCCAUUAAGUUUACAAUAACUUACGAUGAUUUCUUUUUAAACAUUAAAAAAUAUAUAAAUUCGUUAAAUAAAUUGAAAACAUUUUCCUGAGUUGACCAAUAUAUUUUUAAAUUUGUAUUUCUUAAAAAACCUGUCAACAAUUAUUGAGGUCACCAACAUCACGGAAAGACAAGCGAAAAAAGCUAACCAGAGACAGGGGAGCGAGGGAACAACCGGAGGCGAAUACUGGGUGGCCCAUGUCACGGUUGCAAUGUUCUUUUUUCGAGAUCGUGAUUUGUUUUUCAAAACUGAUGAACUUUUCCAAAUUCAUAAUUUUUUUAAAAUUUGUGAACUUUUUGGAAAUCUGAAAAGUUUUCAAAUUCAUGAAAUUAUUUUAUCAAAAUCGAAGAACCUUUUUCAAAUCCGUGUUUUUAAAAAAAUCGGAUGAACUUUUUUUUUAUCAAAAUCGAUGAACUAAACUGUUUGCAAGUCAGUAUUUUAUUUUGAAAAUUCGGUGAACUUUUUUCAAAUUAAUGAUUGUUUUAAAUGUUUUGAUUAUUUUGUAAACUUUUUUGAGAUCCAUGAUUUUUUUAAAAUUGAUGAACUUCUCUAAAAUUCGUGAAUUCUUCUUCAAGUUUUUGUUUUCUUUUUACAAAUAUGUUUUUACUGGGACUGAGCCAUGGGCCAAUGGUGCUGUUUUUGGAUAUAACACGCCAAUGGUUAUUUAGCCAAGUUGGUGGACGCUGGAAUGCAGGUUUGAAUCGUACAUCAUGAAGAAUAACAUGGGGAAGUUUUUUUUUCUUCCUGUUUGUUUCUUUUUGAGCAUGCACUGGUUGCGAGCAAGCUGGGCUGGCCAACUACCGCUCACCGUCGAGCGCCGACUAGCCUAAGCGACGCUUAGGGCACCGAAAAGGAGCUCUCCUCCUCCGUGGCAUAUAUUAUGCGCUUUUCGAUGAAAUGGCACUGAAAUGCAUAGGGUAGAGUGAGCGAGCAACCUAAAUGGACCAUUUUGGAACAUUCUUAGCUUCUUUACAGGUUUAGGUCAAUUUUUUCUUUUUUCUUUUUCUUAUUAUCUACUGUUUCUUUUAACAGGUUUUAUUUUUAUUUUUUCAUGUUCCUUUUUUUGUGAUUUUUUUUUGCUUUUUCAAAUAGUGUUUCCUAAUGAUUGGAAAUUUUGGAAAAAGUUCGUUUUCUUAAAUCACAAAUUCAAAAAAAAUUCCCAUUCCCAAGAAUAGCUGGCAAUUUCUAAAAAUGUUUGUUCAUCAUUUUUUUAAACAUUCUCUUUUUCAAAAAUCUUUGGAAAUUCAAAUAAUGAUUGUGUUUUCAAGUUAUGUUCAGUAUUUCAGAACAGUUCAUGUUGUGAACAAUUGUUCUUAAAUUUAAAAAUGCUUCAAUUUUCGUAAUUAAAAUAUUAUGAUCGAAUUUAAAAAAACAGAUUUCAGAAAUCUUCACAUUUUCAACUCUGUUUCAAAAAUUCAAUGAAUGUUUGGAUUUGAAAAAUUGGUUUUCCCUAUAAAUGUUCAGAAAUUUCAAAAUUGUAGGGAUGCUCUGUGCUUCUAGGCGACAUUUUGAUGGACAGAGUGUCACAAAGAAGGUAGGGAUUCUUUGUGCUUCUGGGCGAAAUUGGGAUGCACAAAGUGUCACAAAGGAGCUCCUCCGGCACAUUGUACUGGAGGAAAUGCGCAUAGUAGCGAGGGACUAGGCACUUCAACACUCUGACACUGGAGCAAUUAUAUGUCUCUUUUCCCCGUUUUCUCUAAGAAGGAGGAUGCACAAUUUAGUUACAUAUUUUAAGAACGCGUAGUUACAAGAUUCUAAAGAUUGUCCACGUAUGUUAUGAAAAUAUAACAGAAUUUUAAGUGAAAUGUUCACAAUUUUUUUAGAAAACACAAAUUAUAAAAAAUACCAUUGGUAUUAUAAAUGUUAUCUUGUUUUCUGUUUUCAUGUAUUUUAAUGAUGUUCUUGAAAUUAGAAAGUUUACUAUUUAUAAAAAGUCCGUUUAUUUUCAUAAAUUUUCUUGUAUUUAAAAAUUAUUCAAGAAUUCUUAAUAAUGUUGUUGUAUCCUCAGAAAUAUUCACGGAUUCUAAAAUGGAAAAGAAAAUGAAAAGGAAAAAAGAAAUAAGUUAAAACAUUAUGAAAAAUGAAAAUAAAAAUCAAAAGGUAAAAAAUAAACCUAGAGAAAACCAGAUGGACAUGGAAUUAAAUUAAAUAAAGGAAGGAAAAAGAAAAAUAGAAACCGAAGGACCACUCAACGGAAAUUUAUUGGGAAGAUUGGAGGAAAGAAGGGGGGAAAGGAAAGAAAACCAGUGAAAACAAACAACAGAAAAGUGAAGAUUUCGUGUGGUGGUGAAGCUAUUCAAUGCUGCUAGCUAAAGUACUUGUGCAUAUCCCUGCAAAGUAAAUACUUGUGCAUAUUUUGUUGUCGACUAUUUUUUGGAAAAAGAGACAUCCUAACUAACAUGAGCUGUUAAUCAUAUGAGUUGAACAAUUUCUGCAAAAGGUAACACGUCCAAACUUGGAGUACAACUCCCCCCGUCCCAUAUUAGUUGUCGUUGAAAUGGAUGUGUUUUAGUGCUUCAUGCAUCCGUUUGAGCUAAAAAUAAUAUGGAACGAUGGGAGUAUUAUCUACUUCAUUCUUUCCAAAAUAUAAGGCAUGCUACUUUUUUGAACAGUUAGACAUCUUUAUAUUGGACCAAGUUUAUGGGGAUUUUUUUUCAGUAUCUAGAAUGCCAAAUGAAUACAAUAUGGAAUACAUUCCGUGGUGGAUCUAAUGGACUACUUUGGCAAUGUUGGUAUGGAACUUUUUUCUCUGAAACUUGGUUAAAUAUAGAAAGUUGAACUUAAAAAAAAUACACCUUAGAACGAGAGAUUCCUAGGUUGACUGAGAGGCUAUUGUUCAACACUAUUACAGUACCGCUUUCCCGUCUCUGUUGGCCACUGCUUCAUAUCCUCCACGCCUUCAAAUUUUGAUGUGUUUCUACAUGGUAUAGUCUCGAACAGAGUUUGAAUAAUACCCCUCCGUUGGGAUACAUAGGACAUAUUUUGGCUGGUUAAUAAAAGAAUUGACAAAUAACUAUAUUUGUAUGCGGUUUAUGAGAUACAAAAUCACGGUACUAAGUAUAAUUAAUGCUAUAAAUGAAAUGGCAUAGAAGAAGGGAACCUAGUUCUUAUAUCUUUUUUUUCUUUACGAAUGAAGCUCCAAUAAUGCACCAGCGAAAAAGGGAACAGUGAGAUCUAGCGUUGCUGUUGCUGUGUGCAACUUCCGUGACCCACGUCAAUUCAACAGUUACGACCAAUAAUAGAGAAGAUGAUAUUUUACCAGAAAGUAGCUAAGCAAAGGCUUUCAUUUUACUGGAGGUUGGUGCACGUUAUUUUGUCAAGAUAUUUUUCGACAAGGGGAAUAUUUUGUCAAGAUCUACAAACAGUAAUUCAGCAAAGAGCUCUGCAGUGGCCCUGGCGACUGAACUCACUGUUCUAACUUUGUGGCAAUGAAACUAUGGAAAUCUGCCACACACAAGAAUAUGCUGGCGUCCAUUUGUAAAGACAGAUCAAAACAUACUUUGUGCAUUCUCUUUCUAUGUAUCUAAGAAAAAACCGGAGAACAUUGGAGCAGAUGAAUAGCGGACGGAAUAUCCUCCAAAAUGCACAAAAAAAAACAGUUUUAGUGAGUAUCGAACAUAUAUUCUUGUGCAUGUUAUAAAAAAGGAAUUUUGAAAUUGCUACUUCUAAUUUUCUACAUGUUGUUCAUAUGCACAUGGUUAAAGUUUGUGUUGCACAAAAAGCUGCCAGAAACUUGUCGUCUAAAUAGAAAUGUAAUUUUCCAGUUGAGCCGAUAUUUUUUGUUGGAUAGAGACAAUGGUUGAAGAUCGUCAACUAACUAAUAGUAAUAAACUUCAUACUUUCCUAAAAAAAAGGUGCAUACAAACUUUUUUCUGAGAGAAAAAGUUCACACAAACUUAUAUGUAGUUGCAUAUAAAAUCACAUAUUAAUUCAGCUGGGCGAGUUAACCUACCUUGACAUUUCCGGCUUCCUUGAUGGCCUCCAGCAGCUUGAGCUGCAGGUGGAGGUUGUGGCUACGGAAGUGAACCCCGGACAUGGCCGAGACCACCACGUCCACCUGCUUCACGGCGGCGACGAGGCCCCGGUGGUCGUCGAGCGACGCCUCCAGGAGCCGCGCUCCCUGCGCCUUGAACGACAGCAGCAUCUGGAGCUUGUCGAUGUCGAGGCCAAUCUCCGGCCUCAUCAACAAAUAGGUCUUGUGGCCCUGAGCUAAGCUCGCCUUCACGAUCCUCCUGCCGAUGUAGCCAGUGCCUCCAACGACAAGAACCCUGCUCUUCUCCAUGCCUCACAAAGAAGAAGAUAGAUGCAAAUCGCUGCUUGCCGGAUGCCACUUUCCACCGAUGCCUGGUGUGGUGUGUUGACCUGGUUGGGACCUUCACAAGAUAUGGUAGGUUGGUUACAUUACGUGUACGGCCCUAGCUGAUAUUGUGCAUCACUCUAUCAGUACCAUCAUGGUGGUUGAUUUUGAGGCCGCAUUGAUGAGCUGUCGUUUAUUUGAUGUACUCCUACCUACUUUUAUUAUAAGCACAUGUGAUUUAUGGCUUGUAAACUUGUGAGCUCAGCUGAUACAGUUCACGCAUGUUACAAAGUUCCAUCCGCGAUUGUACUCGACUUAAACUUACCGUUGAAAAUCUCAAAAGGUAACAUAAGGCAUCUCCAACUGCGUGCCCUAAAUCGGACACACUAAACGUCUGCAGACACGGAUAAGGGAGCCGGCCAUAGAAAAGACCAAACAUCCUCCCAUAUUUCAAACAGAGAUUGAACAAAAAUGAUGAAAUCCAUGCAAACCUGAGGAAAUUGAACCAAGUUCAUAUAUCACAUUCAAACCAGGCGAUAUUUGGCAAGUUCAACUAAAAUUUAAAAAACCAAAUGAAACUACGCGAGAUACAAGACGGUGACGGCUUUAUCUGCUCCAUCAUACGCGUGGCCUCCAUGGCCGGCGCUCCUUCAUCGUUGUGGCGGUUUUCCCAACGAUAUUAGGGCGCAUAGGGACUACAACAAUCCUAAUUGACCGCCACCUAGCUCUCCCGUUGUAGCCGAUCAGCUUCCUCUGCCACCUGACACAUGGCCGCGUCAGCCGUUGACGCCGACCCAGGCCUUGCCUUUGCCAACGACGAGGGCGGCAAUGUGCAGAGACUCGUCCACCACAAUCUUGACGAGAUGGUCGCUGAGGCGGCACCAGCACCGCUCGGACGUCUCCACGGUGGUACUCGACCAGUCCUCAUGCCAGGCCCACGUGAGGUCCACUGGUGGAAAAAGGGUCAAAUGUGAAGCACAUUAGUGCCGGUUUGAUUUUGAGCCGGCACUAAUGUGUCCGUUAGUGUCAGUUCCAACGGCUAGCCGGCCGCUCUUAUUAGUACCGGUUCGUGGCGAACCUUCCACAAACCGGUACUAAAGUGAGUAGUGGCAGGAUGUUGUCAGUCUGGGCCCCUCCAGUACCUUUAGUACCGGUUUGUGUUACAAACCGGUACUAAAGGUCAUCCUACAUAAACCCUUCGCCCACCCGAGCUCGCUCUGUUCUUCCCUUUCCCCUCUCCUCCUCUGUUCUUCCCCUCUUCCUUGAGCUCAUCACAAAUUUUGCCCAAAAUUUGUCAAGAUUUGAAGGCCCCCAUCCAUUCAAAUGAUCACAAAGGUUAGCAACUUUGUCCUUUCAUCUCUUAUUGCUAGAUUAGCUCUUGCAAUGCUUUGUAUAGUGAUUAAUUUGUGAGUUUAGUAAUUUGGAAGGAAUUAUAUGUGCUAGUAUUUGAUUUAUAUGCAAUUUGAGGUCAAAAAUAACACUUAGUUUGCAUAUGUAGGUGUGGUUUACUUAGUGCCUUCUAAAUCUCCGUCGUAACCACCGUCGAUCGCCUGCACCGUCCCGUCGUCGGCACCACCUUGUGGUGAGGCUCUUGUUCAUGAGUGUUUUACAUUACCAAAUUGAUGUUGGUGUGAUUUGGAUAUAUAGUUACUCGUAUAAUUAUCUUACCCGUACGUUGUUUGUUAUACAUAGUGCCAUGGUUUUGAUAUCCGUCCCCGUCGGCCCUCGUCCUUGUUAUGAUCCGGAUGUGGUAUAUUCUCUUUUAAAACUAGUUGUUGCAUUUCGUGUUUAUGACAAAUUAUGCCCAUCAAGUUGACAUGGAUAUUUUUAUCUAGGAGGUAUGUGAACCGGAAAUUCCAACCGACCCUAUUGUCGAGAGGUUAAAUUUAGUUGAAAGAGAAAACGAGUAUUUGAAAGAAAAAUUGAAAAGAAUUGAGGGGGAGAAGAUGGAAUUGGAGUUGCAUGUUGCCGAUGUCGUCGAUGAUACAAGAUCAAGAUGGAGAAAAUGCGCUUGAAGAUUAGAAAGAUUAGAAAAUAUGCCAUUGAUAGUGAGGCUUGGUAUCAUUAUGCUGUUGGAUCAAUUGUUACCUUAGUUGCAAUCUCGAUAACAUUUGUUGUUGCGUUUGAAUGGUUUAGCUAGAGAGUUAUUUGUUUGUCGCAUUUAAGUGUUGUAUGAACUAUAUAUAUGUAUGAACUUGUAUUAAUUUGGUCUUUUUCGGUGUUGUGUAAUGAAGAUGAGCCGACAAUGGAUGUAUGAUGACCGAUGCUCUCCCGAGUUCAUUAAUGGCGUGCAUACUUUUAUGCUUGCCGUUGAGGCAAACAAGCGGGCGGAUGGUUUUAUGCCUUGUCCAUGUGCUGGCUGUAAGAAUUGUCACAAUUACUCAACAUCAAGACCAUUCACGUCCACCUAUUUGAGUCCGGUUUCAUGCCCCAUUAUAAUGUUUGGACCAAGCACGGAGAAAGAGGGGUUAUGAUGGAAGACAAUGAAGAAGAAGAGGAUGACGACAGCUAUCCUGGCCAUGGGUUCCUUGAAUACGAUAAUACAACAAUGUGGGAAGAAGCUGAGCCGGCAAUGCGGGAAGAAGCUGAAGAAGAGGCAUCAGAUGAGCCCGCUGAUGAUCUAGGUCGGGCCAUUGCCGAGGCAAAGAAAAACUGCGCACGUGAUUUGGAGAAGAAGAAGUUGCAGCGCAUGUUAGAGGAUCACAAGAAAUUGUUGUACCCGAAUUGCGAAGCUGACAAAAAAAGUUGGGCACCACACUAGAAUUGCUGCAAUGGAAGGCAGAGAAUGGUGUAUCUGACAAGGGAUUUGGAAAGUUGCUGGUAAUGAUAAAGAAUAUGCUUCCAAAGGACAAAGAAUUGCCCGAGAGUACGUAUGAAGCAAAGAAGGUUGUCUGCCUUCUAGGGUUAGAGGUGCAGAAGAUACAUACAUGCCCUAAUGACUGCAUCCUCUACCGCGGUGAGUACGAGGAUUUGAACGCUUUCCCGGUAUGUGGUGCAUUACGUUAUAAGAUUAGUCGCGAUGACCCUAGCGAUGUCGAGGGCGAGCAUCCCAGGAAGAAGAUUCCUGCCAAGGUGAUGUGGUAUGCUCCUAUAAUACCACGGUUGAAACGUUUGUUCCAAAACAAAGAGCAUGCGAAGGCGGUGCAAUGGCACGGAGAAGACCGUAAGAAAGACGAAAAGUUGAGAGUACCCGCUGACGGGUCGCAGUGGAGAAAAAUCGAGAGAAAGUACUGGGAGGAGUUUGCAGGUGACCCAAGGAACGUAUGGUUUGGUCUAAGAGCAGAUGGCAUUAAUACUUUUGGGGAGCAGAGCAGCAACCAUAGCACGUGGCCUGUGACUCUAUGUUUGUAUAACCUUCCUCCUUGGUUGUGCAUGAAGCGGAAGUUCAUUAUGAUGCCAGUGCUCAUCCAAGGUCCUAAGCAAUCCGACAAUGACAUUGAUGUGUACCUAAGGCCAUUAGUUGAAGAACUAUUGCAGCUGCGGAAUGGAAAAGGUGUACAUGCGUGGGAUAAGCACAAACAGGAAGAAUUUGACCUAAAGGUGUUGCUGUUCAUGACCAUCAAUGAUUGGCCUGCUCUCAGUAACCUUUCAGGACAGACAAACAAGGGAUACCGCGGAUGCACGCACUUUUUGGAUGAUACCGACAGUAUAUAUUUGGAUAGUUGUAGGGAAAAUGUGUACCUGGGACAUCGUCGAUUUCUUCCGAGCAGGCAUCCCGUAAGAAAGAAAGGCAAGCAUUUCAAAGGUGAGGCGGAUCACCAGACGAAGCCUCUCCACCGUACUGGUGAUGAUGUACAUGAUAUGGUCAAGGAUUUGAAGGUAAUCUUUGGAAAGGGUCUUGGCGGACAACCUGUUCGGAAGGACGCUGACAGACGCGCACCCAUGUGGAAGAAGAAAUCUAUAUUUUGGAACCUGCCAUAUUGGAAAUACCUAGAGGUCCACUCCGCAAUUGACGUGAUGCACAUGACGAAGAAUCUUUGCGUGACCCUACUUGGCUUCUUGGGCGUGUAUGGGAAGACAAAAAAUACACCAGAGGCACAGGAGAACCAGCAACGUAUGCACGGAAAAGAUGGCAUACAUCAGGGUCAGGCCAGCUACGCUCUUACCAAAGAAGAGAAGGAAAUCUUCUUUGAAUGCCUACUCAGUAUGAAGGUACCAUCUGGCUUCUCGUCGAAUAUAAAGGGAAUAAUAAAUGUGGUAGAGAAAAAGUUCCAGAAUCUUAAGUCUCAUGACUACCAUGUGAUUAUGACGCAACUGCUUCCGGUUGCAUUGAGGGGGCUUCUACCGAAAACGUUCGAUUAGCCAUUGUGAAGCUGUGUGCAUUCCUCAAUGCAAUCUCUCAGAAGGUAAUCGAUCCAGAAAUCAUACUAAGGUUAUAGAAUGGUUUGGUGCAAUGUCUUGUCAGUUUUGAGUUGGUGUUCCCACCAUCCUUCUUCAACAUCAUGACGCACGUCCUAGUUCACCUUUGCAAAGAGAUUAAUGUUUUGGGUCCUAUAUUUCUACACAAUAUGUUCCCCUUUGAGAGGUUCAUGGGAGUCUUGAAGAAAUAUAUUCAUAACCGUGCUAGGCCAGAAGGAAGCAUCUCGAAGGGCCAUGAAAAUGAGGAGGUCAUUGAGUUUUGUAUUGACUUUAUUCCUGACCUUAAGCAGAUUGGUGUUCCUGAAUCGCGGCAUAAGGGCAGACUGGAUGGAAAAUGCACGCUAGGAGGGGAUCAAAUAAUAUGUAUGGACGGGCAUUCUCUCUCUAAAGCACACUACACAGUUCUAUAGAAUUCCGCUUUGGUGGCUCCGUAUAUGGAGGAACACAAGAAUUUUCUACACUCCAAACACCCGGAGCAGUCUGACGACUGGAUUACACGUGAACAAACGAGGACUUUCGCUGGUUGGUUGCAGAAACGUGCCAUGCAUGAUGGAGAUAUUGAAGAUGACCUAUACUCGAUGUCCUAGUUAUCAUCUUCGAAUAUAAUGACUUUCAAAGGUACGAGAUAAAUGGGAAUACAUUUUACACGAUCGCCCAAGAUAAAAAGAGCACCAACCAAAACAGUGGUGUCCGCUUUGAUGCAACAACCAACACAGGAAAGGAAACAUAUUAUGGUUACAUAGAGGACAUAUGGGAACUUAACUAUGGAGGUGGUUUGAAGGUCCCUUUGUUUCGAUGCAAAUGGGUCAAUAUGACACGAGGCAGGGUAACGGAAGACCCACAGUACGGAAUGACAACAGUGGAUCUCAACAAUCUUGCGUAUGCAGACAAACCAUUCGUCCUAGCCAAUGAUGUGGCGCAGGUUUUUUAUGUGAAAGACAUGUCUAUCAGGCCAAGAAAAAGAAAAGAUAAGGAAGCAAAUGGAUCAUACGAUGAGCCAAAGCGCCACAUAGUUAUUUCAGGGAAAAGAAACAUCGUCGGAGUGGAUGACAAGACAGUCAUGUCAGAAGAUUAUGAAAAGUUUGAUGAAAUUGCUCCAUUGAAUAUUGACCCGAGCAUCCAGUUAAAUGAUGAAGAUUGUCCAUGGCUACGACGCAAAGGGACACACGUGAAGAAAAACUUCAAAGAUGCAGGAUGCAUACGACUAGAAACCCAACGUUUGUUGGGCCACAUAGUCCAUGGCCUGCAUACAGACUAGAAACCCAACGUUUGUUGGGCCAGGAUGUAGGCCUGCAAAGGCCCAGUAGGCCCACAGGACAGCAGAGAACAGGUAGGCCCAGUAGGCCUGCAUAGGAGAGGAGCUCGAGAAAGCUACCGCACUAGGGCUUAUAAACCAGUACGGACACCGCUCGGCUAGCGAGGUGGGACUAAACUUGCCGCAUCGAACCUGCGCCAGCAUAGACUUUUAGUAUCGGGUCGUAGCACCAAUCGGCACUAAAGGGGGGGGGGUCUUUAAUAACGGUUGGAGCCACCACCCGGUACUAAGGGGGGGGGGUGCUUCCCGCCGCUUGGCCUGGCUAAAACAGACCUUUAGUACCGGUUGGUGGCUCCAACCGGUACUAAAGGUGCCUUGUAUAUAAACAACACUUAUGAAAUUUUUUAGUUUUUCAUCUCUCCCUCUGCUUCUUUCUCCUCUGCCCCGUCACCGCCGCCCCUCGUCGCCGUCCCCGUCGCCGUNNNNNNNNNNNNNNNNNNNNNNNNNNNNNNNNNNNNNNNNNNNNNNNNNNNNNNNNNNNNNNNNNNNNNNNNNNNNNNNNNNNNNNNNNNNNNNNNNNNNNNNNNNNNNNNNNNNNNNNNNNNNNNNNNNNNNNNNNNNNNNNNNNNNNNNNNNNNNNNNNNNNNNNNNNNNNNNNNNNNNNNNNNNNNNNNNNNNNNNNNNNNNNNNNNNNNNNNNNNNNNNNNNNNNNNNNNNNNNNNNNNNNNNNNNNNNNNNNNNNNNNNNNNNNNNNNNNNNNNGCCAUACCCCCCCCACACACAUUAGUUUUUAAGUUAUAAAUUUUAGUUAUAGAAUUUUUUCUGUUUUUUAGUUAUAGAAAUAUCUAUAGAAAUGUUAGAAAUUUUUCUGUUUUUAGUUAUAGAAAUAUUAGAAAUGUUAUAAUUUGUUUCUGUUUUUUAGUUACAGAAAUAUUUAUAGAAAUGUUAGCAAUUUUUCUGUUUUUUAGUUAUAGAAAUAUUAGAAAUGUUAUAGAAAUGUUAGUUAUAUAUAUAGAAAUUUUAGAAUUAGUUUUAGUUAGAUGAAUUAGAUUAAUGUCAAAUUGUUAGAAAUUUUAGUUAUCACAAUCCAAUCAUUUAAAAAUGUUACUUUUUGCGGGCAUAUAGUAUUUGUUCUCGACGAUGCCCGGCCCGCAUCCUCGCCGUCGACCCGUUCGCGACGACAUCCUGCUUCAGAGGACCCGCGUCCGGGACUAGGCUCCGCCGGGCUGGCACUGGGAGGGGCGUGCCGCUUGGUGAGGAACCCGGCCUCGGGUCCCGUCGUCGACCCUGAUCUCCUUUGGUGGCGUUCGCGUGGGCCACAUUCGGUGCAGAGGGAGCCAGCCCCGCUGGAGGUGGUGUGUCACCGUGUUAGGGAGGAGGACGAGCACAUCUAUCGGUACAUGGUUGCUAUGGAUGACGUCAGGUUUUCCAAUACUUGGCAGGUUCUUUGGGCAGAUGAUCGGAGAUAUGAUCCUGUGAUGGUUCCUUCUUUUUGGGUGUCCACUGCCCGUGCCCCAGGAACCGCGAGUUUCCUAGAUUCUUCUGUAGUAUUCGAUCUUUAUUAGGUACCUAGCCAGUGAUGUAUUUGAUAUAUAAUAUUCGAGACAAUGUAUUCAAGAUUAUAUAUAUUAUUCGAGAUGAUGUAUUUGAGAUUAUAUAUUAAUCGAGAUGAUGCAUAUUAUGUACUAUAUGAUUCAGUUUUUCCUUAUUGAUUGCAUCCAUGCAUUGUAAUUUGAAUACUAAAUUGUUUUAUAUUUUUUCUGUAUUAGUUAAGUAAAAGCUAUGGCGGACAAUACCGGCAGAGAGAGAGAGAAGAGGAAUUGUUCGAGAUCAUACGCAGCCCUCGCAGGCUAGAUGAUCUGAAUGAAGCAGAUGACGGCUCCCAAUAUCUGAACAAUACUGGAGAGGGUGAUGAUAAGAUAUUCAUCUCGAUGACCGAGCUGAUGAAGUCAUGAACUAUGAUUAUGAUUAUGAUGAUGCAGACAAUGUUUAUGAUGACAGAGACAAUAAUGUUGAUCUUCAAAUAACAAAGACUAAUGGCGAGGUAUAUUUAUAUAAGCAGGAAUUUGGUGAUCAUCACAUGUUUUUUUAUUUGAAGAUAUAUUAACGAAUCAAUCUUUCUUUUUUCAGCCCUCCGGAUCGAGCAAAUCUGCUUCUACAGACAGCAAGACACAGCGAGGCCCGGGAAAAAAGUUGAAGGAGGGUGUAAAGUACAACAUCGACUCCAUCAAAGCUAGUGGCGAACCCCUCACGCCUAAGAACAUUGCGAAGAAGUGGACUCGUCAGUGCGGAGUUCUUGUGAAGGACCAACUCCCGAUCUCCAUUCAAGAAUGGAAAGAGCCAAAAACUAAACGUCCAGAUGUUACUUGGGUCGACGACAGAGCAAAAAAAAACCUUUGGGAAUCUCUGAUGGAACAUUGCACCCUACCAGAUUAUUUCACUGAUGCAAAUGUGCAGAAAGCCAAGAACGCUGCUCUUAAGAAGAUGGCAAUUGCAUUCAACACCCACAAGAAAACUGUAUGGGCCAACUACCUCGCUGCAGAAAGGAAGACUCCAGAAUUCAAGGGAACACUGGAGAAGCAAAGAGAACAUUGGGGCGAUUUCAUGAAAUUCAAGGAAUUAGAAUUAUCUAAGGAACGGUCGAGGAAAAAACAAGGCCAAUGCCGCAAAAAAGACGCAGUUCCAUAGGCUGGGUCCAGGUGGCUACGCGAUGGGAGUGCCUAAGUGGGAUAAGUCUGAGCAAGAGAUGGAGGAUGCAGGGGUCACUCCGGUCACUAGGAGCUGGCCCCCCAGGUGCAGAACUUGGUUCUAUGCGCAUGGGGGGCGUUGGACCCAAAGACAGGCCUGGUUUCGAAGAAGGCAAGUCUAAAAGGGGCUGAACAAAAGAUACCUGAUGCAAUAGAAGAUGCUUGAAAGGGGGUAUUCACGCCCAACAGAGAGAACGACGAGCUUACGCGCGCCCUGGGAAAUCCUGAACACCCGAGAACAACACGAGGCAAGGGCGUUAUUCCCUGGUAUGAGGGCUUUUCGGAAUGGAACGACGACUACAGGACCCGUGCAAGAAAGAAGAUGGAGGAGGAGAAGCAGAGGAAGUAGGACACAGAACGCCUUCAAGGCCUAGAAGCAAGGCACGCGGACUUGGCACUCAAAUUCCAGCAGCAGCAGCAGCAAAUCGACUCACUUAGCCAGGAAAGGCGGUCUCAGCAGCGGCGGCAACAACGAGAUGAUCGUACAACAUUGGAUAGCACCGUCCCAUCCAUGCCGAGAAGCAGCAUUGGUUCCGCCCCGGGCGACACACUGCUGGAUAAAUACCCUGUGGAUGACAUCAUAGAGAACACUAACUGUGAGCUACACUCCAAAAUGAAGAACAUAUCCAUGAAGGUGGCGGACGCCGUUGCUUUUACAAUUACCCCCGAAGCAACCUUCCAUUGCACCCCGAUUCCAGAGGGCUAUGCUCGUGUCAUUGUUGAUGAAGUGGUGGAGCCAUAUUCGAGGCUAGCACUUGACAUUCCUGGAGGUGACGACGAGCGCACACUGGGAGAGGCCAUACAUCGUAUCAUCCUAUGGAGAAAGGAUUGCAUCAUCUUUCGAAGUCCACCGACACCACGUCUGCCGACUCCUCCUCGAAGUCCGCCACCGAGUCAGCAGACUCCCGCUCCUACAAGUCCACGAACGCGUGAGCCGACUCCUCCUCGAAGUCCGCCACCUCCUCCAAGUCCACAAACGCGUGAGGCCACUCCUCCUAUUUCAAGUCCGGCACAGUGUCAGCCCACUCCUCCUGCUCCAACUCAGUCACGUCAGUCGUAUCCACCGUCUCAGCAAUCCCAGAAGAGACACGCCGCAGCUAUGGUGCGUAGCGGUACGAGUCGAGGUAGUACAGGAAGUACAGGCGGAGACAAGCGAUAUAAAUAUGGUUCAAUCCUCGAUCCUCUUCCUCAGAGGCCUUACGACAUGACCGAGGAGAAAAACGUAGCAAUAGUGCAGGCCCAAGUGGACGCCCAUUUGGCACCGAAACCGGCACCACCGCCAAGGGAGAAAGUGCCUGAGAAAGUUAUUGACCACUUUAUUCAUAUGGCAAGAAAACCAGCUCCCAAGCCUGUUGACUUAGACUAUGAGCACCAAAUCAGGAAGCUACAUCGAGCACGGCUACAAAAGGAAGCGAGCUCGAGCUCAAGCCAACAAGCAGCUGUCAAAAAAGCGGGAAAACCGUUCCCCAGCUGGGAGAAUAGGUGGCGCAAUCGAUACCCCCGCUUGUUGUGCCAACACCACAUGAGAGUAUGCACGCCCGAUAUUAUUAUGGGCAAACCGUUAACGUUCCCCAGCUAGGCGAUAUGGUAAUAACCGAGGAGCAUAUAAUGUAGGCUGAAAUGCUCAAGAUCACUGUUGGACAACUCCUCGAAAUCGAGUCCAUGUCUCCGCUUAGAGAGGAGGAAAUAAAACGGAAAUAUGUCCGGGGCCAUCCUUUGGUCGAGCCAGACAAGGUCAAGAACCUCCCAAUGAGAACGCAUGAAUUGCAUCAAUGGUACAUGAACAUUACCAAGAUUUCCAAUCGAGUGUCCCUCAUGGUGAAUGUCAAGGAGGAGCAUUACUUCCAUGAGAAAGCUCUGUCCAUUGAGUAUUCAGAACUAUUUCAGUUAUACAAUCAAGACGCACUCAGUUGCUAUUGUCUGUAAGUGAUUUCUUUCUGUAAUUUAAGUCUCAAGCUAGUUGUAGUGAUUAUUUUGAUCAAUCAUUACAUGUAAUUAUCCUCACUAUAAUCUUUUCUGUGGUAUUAUAUGCAGGAUGAAGAUGUAUGAAAUAAAAAAAAAUCUGGACGCUAUGGCAUUGUGUUCAUUGACCCGAAUACCAUUAAUGAGUACACAUAGAAUCUUCCAACUUAUUGAGCAAGUUUAGAGGAAAGCAUGAUAGAGUUCUUCAAGCGCCUUAAUACCAAUGAAGAUAUACUACUUCUUUACAACUUCCUAUGAGUCACACUGUCUUGUACUACAAAUUCAGUUUUUGCUUACUAGCUAGCUAGAUGUUAGUUGAUUAGUGUUAUGCACAUGCCCGCUUAAUUAAUACAUGCAAACAUGUGGGCAUGCAGUUUCCACUGGAUCUUGUUAGACAUUAAAGUUGAGAAAGGAAAAGUUGAAGUACUGGACUCACUACUUAAAGAAGACAAUGACUACACCAUCGUGAAGGGGAUAGUCAACAGAUAAUUUCAAUCAUUAUUAAUUAACUAUAUCUCGUCCUAUUUAGUUUGUCAUUUCCUGAUAUGAACUAUUUAAUAACACAUUUAUUCAUUUUCUUUGCCGGUGGGCAGGGCUUGGGCAAAGUUCAUCAAGGUGACUCCAGGCAAAUGGGCAAAAAAGUUGUUUUGGUAUCGACCAAAGGUAAGUAAUUAAGUAGCUACCUAGCUAGCUACCAUCUCUUUAAUUCUUAUUUCAAUAACAUUAAUGAAUUAUCAUGCUUGAUUAAUCAUUAUCUGAUUCAAUUCCAUUCUCGUAAAGGCCCUGAAGCAGACGCGCGGGGAAAUGAUCUGUGUGCAUACUACGUUUGUGAGAACAUUCACAUGAUGGCGUCCGAAAGGAGCAGAUCUCAAAGACAGGACUGGGUACGUUUAUCAGAACACUAUUCACACCAUUAUCGAUAUCUAGUCACACGACUAAUACACAUGCAUAUUGAUCUCCUUAACAGUUUAGAGAGGUGUGGGAGCAGCUCGUACCAACGGACCGCAUACUAGCACUUCAAGAGGAAAUAGCGGGAUUUUUGCUUGACCAGGUCAUAGAUCCCAAAGGAGAAUACUAUUAUCCGCUACCGCCCCCAUGAACCAUUUGUCAUCGUGCUCUGAAGGCACCAAGGCAACAUGUAGGAGAAAUUAUGUGUAUAUAUAUAUAUAUAUAUAUAUAUAUAGGACAAAUGUUUCCUACAAGCAGUGGUAGUUACCACCACUUGCAUUUUGUAUGUUGUAUGUAGUAUCUGUCAAAAUUGAGAGUAUGUACGUGUAGUAUGUAGUAUAUAACAAUGAUUAGGUAGUAUAUAUACUGAUUUUUAGGUAGUACAUACCAUAUUUUGAGUAUACUCUUUUUUACAUACAAAUAUGUACGUAUUUCACAAAUAUAACAAAAACUAUUGGUUCAUAUACAAUUUUUUCAUAUAACUUGCUUUGAAAUAUCUUAGAUAUAGUAUAUGAAUAUAUUUAAANNNNNNNNNNNNNNNNNNNNNNNNNNNNNNNNNNNNNNNNNNNNNNNNNNNNNNNNNNNNNNNNNNNNNNNNNNNNNNNNNNNNNNNNNNNNNNNNNNNNNNNNNNNNNNNNNNNNNNNNNNNNNNNNNNNNNNNNNNNNNNNNNNNNNNNNNNNNNNNNNNNNNNNNNNNNNNNNNNNNNNNNNNNNNNNNNNNNNNNNNNNNNNNNNNNNNNNNNNNNNNNNNNNNNNNNNNNNNNNNNNNNNNNNNNNNNNNNNNNNNNNNNNNNNNNNNNNNNNNNNNNNNNNNNNNNNNNNNNNNNNNNNNNNNNNNNNNNNNNNNNNNNNNNNNNNNNNNNNNNNNNNNNNNNNNNNNNNNNNNNNNNNNNNNNNNNNNNNNNNNNNNNNNNNNNNNNNNNNNNNNNNNNNNNNNNNNNNNNNCCACACCUAACCCCCGGUCGCCUCACCUUCUCCCGUGCCGUCCUCCCCAACCCCGGUCACCUCCCUUCCGAUCUCCGCCGGCCACGCCACUCCACCGCCCCAGCACCCGCAGAGGGCGCGCCUUCAUCUACCAGCGAUGGUGGCCUCACCGCCUCGCCGACGCGUGGAUCCAGCACCGCACGCAACCGCCCCACCUUGAUCUGCCGCCCUGCCCUCCCCACGUUCUCUGGCGAGGUGAGCCUCACUUCCCACUAUAUCUUCUUCCCCAUCUGCGUAUGGCACCCUCCCACCUUCUUCCACCCCGCGCCCGCCGCCCUCCACGGCCCCCUCCCUGGCCCCACCGCGCGAUGCCGGCCCACCCCGUCAACGGCCUCAGCCCCGCCCAGCCCUUGAUGCCGUCCGGCGCCCCUGCCUCCGACCAAGCCUGACGACACUGCCGCGAACAAUUCCAACCUGCCCACCGCCCCGGGGUUGAUGCAGGCGCGCCGCCCUCAAGCGUCACACGCGGCUGCUGGUGUGGAUCUGGCCCGCGGCCACGGGAUCAGGGCGGAGCUGGCCCUGCUGCGCCAUUAGCAGACGGGAUCGAGCAGCAACUGUCGUUGACCCACGCAUGCUCCCUCGCCGAUGGCCCUGGUCCGUUUAUCCACGGUUUCUCGUGACCCUCAGGUCGUCGGGAUCGAACGGGCUGCCCCGCAUCGGUGCCUCUUCGCGCAUCUGCGGGCGUCCAACCUCACGCCCGGACGGUUGGCUGCCGCCUGCGGUAGCCGUGGACCCGUGGUCCAAGGCCGGAGGAGCUCCACCUCACCUGCAGCCGCCCAGAGUGCGCCAAGACAGUCAACGACGGCGCCGGCAUCCUGGGAACACGAGUUGCCGCCGAUGCAGUUCGCAGAAGGCCUUUUUUCUCUUUGUUUUUGCAGAUUUUGGAUGUGCACUUCAUCUUGUGCGCAACUUUUGGAUGUGCAGUUGCCCAAUGCAGUGCGCUUCCGAUUUCCGCCACCUGCUUGAUGAAUGAAAGAAGUCAUACUGUUAUUGAUUUGAGAAAAAAAAUGCAGAACAAAUUCGGUGGUUGCCUCGGCCGAGGGAGCCCUCUCCGCGGCUCAGUGAAGUUUGUUUUUGCGGCUCACUGAAGUUUGUUUUGCAGCUCGCUUGCUGAGUGAAGUACGUCCGGCGACUGUGCACGGUUCGGCAACGCAAAGCAUUUGCAUUCUCGCUGUGUUGAUGUGUGCAGUACAUUUUAUAAAAAGUUGCAGUUGGGUUGUAUUUUGUGGGUGAUUGUAAUGUGGAGACAGAAAAAAGGACUUUGUGUGGAUUACUUAGUUUGUAAAAUAAAAACUUGGUAAAAGCAGUGCGCUCGGUGAACCGAAGAAGUACAUUUUUUUCAAAUUGUUGUACUUCAUUGUUAAAAUCUUUGUGGUUCCCUUAUUUCAGUGCACACGAAAGUAAAAAUGCAUUGGGAGCUGCAGUGCACUUUGUUAUUGCGUACGCACGAUGAUUUUCAGUCUAUUUGAUGCAGUGCGGUUUUGGUCUGAAGCAGUGCACUGAUCUAUCUGAUGCAGCAUACUUCAUUGUCGCGUACACACGAUGAUUUUCACUCCGUUUUGAUGCAGUGCGGUUUUGAUCUGAAGCAGUGCACUCAUCUGUCUGAAGCAGUGCACUUCGUUCGUCGUGUACGCAUGACAAUUUUCAGUCUAUCAGAUGCAGUGCGGUUUUCAGUCUGAAGCAGUGCACUAUCUUUCUGAUGCAGUGCACACGACGAUUUGGGUGUCGCAAAAAACAGCAUAUCCGCAUUUUUGUAAAAUCGAAACUGCUCUUAAGCCAUAAGGAAUUAGCGGAAGAGUUGUAUAUGAAAAAGUUGCGACUCGUCGAUAUAUUUCCAACGGGGUAUGAUUUGAAUUAUUCCAACCAGCAGUUCGUAAAAACUUCACGAAAAAACAGCCGCUGCCUCUUGAAGUCAGCCGCACGAUUUUCAAAAUUAACUAAAAAUUGUAAGGAUUCUCAAAACCAUUUCAACAUAUGGAAGUUGCGCCUUGUCCGUAGCUUUCCAAGGGCGUAUCAUAUGUCUCGUUUUGACAAACGGUUAGAAAACUGGAGCAAAAACAGUACCAAAAAUUUCAAAAAAAUUGAAAAAAAGAGUUCUGCGAUUUAGUAAAUUCGAAACUGCUCUUAAACCGUAAUGAAUUAGAGAAAGAUUUAUAUAUGAAAAAGAUGCGCCUCGACGAUAUCUAUCCAACGGCGUAUCAUUUGCUUCAUUCCGACAAGCGGUUUAGAAAAAAACGCGAAAAAACGCUCGCUGUCACUCGUCAUCCGCCGCACUAUUUUCAAAACUGCUCUUAAACCGUGUGGAAUCUCGAAAAGUGUUCAACAUGUCGAAGUUGCGCCUAAUCCACAGCUUUUCAAUGGUAUAUUACACGUCUCAUUCCGAUAAACGGUUAAAAAAUUAGAGCGAAAACAGUACCGAAAAAAUAACACGUGCAGUUUUUUCCGACGAGAAGUUCACUAGUCUCUAUUGCAGUGCUCGUCGUCAAAUGAUGCAGUGUGUUUCUGUUGAGCGUGCAGUGCCGAAGUGGUAUGCAGAAUAGUUAUUCUGCUAAUAUUAGCAGAAUAGACCGUCUGAAUAUAUAUAUAUAUAUAUAUAUAUAUAUAUAUAUAUAUAUAUAUAUAUAUAUAUAUAUAUAUAUAUAUAUAUAUGUAUGUGUGUGUGUGAAAAAUUAAUGGUGUUGGUUGUGAGACAUUCGAUGAUAUAUAUUUAUAUAUGUGCGGUUCUACGAGAAAAUCUGUUUAUAUAUAUGCAUAACGUGUACAAUAUGUAGUAUCGAAAAAUACCAGCAAANNNNNNNNNNNNNNNNNNNNNNNNNNNNNNNNNNNNNNNNNNNNNNNNNNNNNNNNNNNNNNNNNNNNNNNNNNNNNNNNNNNNNNNNNNNNNNNNNNNNNNNNNNNNNNNNNNNNNNNNNNNNNNNNNNNNNNNNNNNNNNNNNNNNNNNNNNNNNNNNNNNNNNNNNNNNNNNNGUGCCACGUGGUCGCCCUUUAGCGCUGGUUCGUGAUAAACCGGUACUAAAGGGGGGGGGGGCUUUAGUCCCCACUCUUUAGUGUCGGUUGCCGAACCGGCACUAAAGGCCCUUACCAACCGGCGCUAAAGCCCGAUUCUGCACUAGUGGUCGGGUCCAUGAGGACCCAGUCGGGCGUGACGUCCGGCGCGUCGGUCGCUGUCAGGGUGCUCCCGAACAACGUGUUGCCACCGUUGUGGUCGAGGUAAUGCAUGAGGCACCCACACAUUCGCGAGCGACGGGGAGGGCUCCUCCUCCUUCUUCCCAGAUAGAAUCAUAUACAACGUGUAUCUUGAAAGCUAAUUUCAUUGGCGUACAAUCCAAAUAAUUUAGAAGUCUAUUACAGCAAAUACAAAACCAAUAAGAAAUAUUUUAUAAGUUCAAAGUUACAAGAAAUAUAAUCCCAAUUAUUUCAAACUGAUGGAGUCUUCAUUUCAGUUUACAUUGAACUCUUUUCUUAUUCUAGACAUCUCCAUGGAACCUAUAGACAGUACAUAACACAUAAUUUGACUUGAUUAUAACUUGAAUAACUAUGCCCUAGUUGAGUAACUUAUUAGUAAAUCUUUCUCCAAACAUAGAUGUUGUUUAUUCUUUAGCAUGUGUUGUUGUUGUUGUUGAGCUUGCAUGAAUAUAGUUCAGGUUCAUAAUGUUUUUUGUUACAAAUAGCGUUUCAUGUACUCAUCCAUCCUGGUGUACUGAACAUCUGGGUAGAGUAGAGAAGCUUCUUCUUCCUCAUUGUCUUUGAUGUCAAAGUUUGUCAAGCAACCCUCAUAGAAAAUGUGGUAGAAAUGCCCUACCCCAACUUGAUUAGUAAGGUCCGUACCUGCAUGAGUAGACCAAUAGGUAUGAUAAUUGGGGCAAAACUAGGUUUUACAUGUUUUUUAUUUAUCGAAAUGAUGGUUUCAAAUAAUAAGUUAUCUAGCUGGUCUUAAAUGAUGUAUAAUGUUAAAGAUUGUAUAAUUACUAAUUACACACAACACACUAAAAUUAACAAAAUCGCUUGUGGAGGGAAGCAUAUUUCUCACAUAUAUUUAAUUUGCACCUGAUUAUAAUCAAAAUGAUCACCUACGUGACUUCGUUGAUCAUUUAGUUCAUGCAGACUGUUUUCAUUUUUGGAGAACUUUGAUUGCUAUGUUCGGUACGAGUUAAAAAAAAUCAUUUCAUGACCAAUUUAAAUUUGAACUAUUAUUGUAAUGGAACAAUGUUUCAUCUAGCCAAUAUAAAUAGUUUCCUUAUAAUAUAUAAUUGUUUCAGAAAAGAUAUAAUAAUAAUGGAAUAUGAUAGUAUUGCUCAUUGUAGUUGACGAAAUCAUGCACUUAAUUCUAAAUUUGUACGCACACACGCACGCACAACGUAUGCCUUCUUUAUUAAUUGUGUGGGGCUGAGGGGUGGGGGACAAGGCUUGACUUCACUUCAUGUUCAAACAGAAAAAUUAACCUGUUAUCUUAAUGAGGAGGCAAAUAGCUCAAAAAUGUUAGGCGGCAAGAGAUAAUUCCUACAGAAAAAGAAGCAAAAUUUCUCACUCACUCCCUCACAUUUUCAAAAGAAGUUUACCAUUAUUCUGUAGUACACGUCCUAACAUAUCCCUCCACCAGGAUAAACCAUUCUAUGCAACUAUUUGAAAAUUUAUUUUCACAUAGUUAAUUCCAUGUCCUAGAAAGAAGAUGUCGAUAUUUUCCUGGGAAAUUCUAUGUGGCCCUUUCACCAUACUACUAAAGCUGAGUUUACAAUACUUCAUGCCCAACCAAUAUAUGUUUGUUUUCUUACCUAUCAUUGACGCCAAGAAUUCAUCACUCUGAAUGGGAAUUUUCUGAAGAACCUUUCCUGAGAGGUUUUCCCAUUUAGCAAUCAGCUCAUUUUGACUAAGGAUGUUUUCUGUCGGUCUUAGGUAUAUUGUCUUGUUCAAGGCCCGUGGAUCAUCAAUCGACUUGAUUGUGUAUGUUGCAACAUCUUUUUCGUCCAGGAAUAUCCCUACAUAGUUUGUAUGACCAUAUAUUCAGAAGUAGAAAUGUCAAGAGAGCCAGAUACGCCUAGGAGUCAUACAGCUAGGAUAAAAUAAUGCUACAUCUAGUAAUGUUUACAUUGGUUCACCUUUGAUGUUGCCAUCCCCAUAUACAUAAACUUUCUCUUUGGGUGGAAGUAGGGUACGCAUUUGACCAAGGUUAGCACCAAAGUAAGCUGCAAAGCAGUUAGCAGAAAUAUAGGUGUGGGGAAUGUUUGCUUCUUCUAUCGCCCUUCUUAUCUCCAUCUUCUCAUCAAAUGUGAUCCUUCCUGGUUCAAGGGCAUGCCCCAUCCUUGCUG